rnacentral:misc_RNA from 1 species
UACGUAGGUGGCAAGCGUUGUCCGGAAUUAUUGGGCGUAAAGCGCGCGCAGGCGGUUUUUUAAGUCGGGUGUAUAAUCCCAAGGCUUAACCCUGGGAGGCCCCCGAAACUGGGAGACUGGAGUGCAGAAGAGGAGAGUGGAAUUCCACGUGUAGCGGUGAAAUGCGUAGAGAUGUGGAGGAACACCAGUGGCGAAGGCGACUCUCUGGUCUGUAACUGACGCUGGGGCGCGAAAGCGUGGGGAGCAAACAGG